CAGCAGCCACGGGAAUACAGAGGGUGCGAGCGUUAAUCGGAUUUACUGGGCGUAAAGCGUGCGUAGGCGGCUAAUUGAGUCGGAUGUGAAAUCCCCGAGCUUAACUUGGGAAUUGCAUUCGAUACUGGUUAGCUAGAGUGUGGGAGAGGAUGGUAGAAUUCCAGGUGUAGCGGUGAAAUGCGUAGAGAUCUGGAGGAAUACCGAUGGCGAAGGCAGCCAUCUGGCCUAACACUGACGCUGAGGUACGAAAGCAUGGGGAGCAAACAGGAUUAGAUACCCCCGUAGUCCCUGUCUCUUAUAU
rnacentral:rRNA from 1 species